rfam:Gossypium hirsutum cultivar TM-1 chromosome 1, whole genome shotgun sequence
AUCCCAUGGUGAGGACACUUAUGAAGUAACUCCUUGUAUCGCUCCAAAGCCUCAUACAAAGACUUGUCAUCCAACUGUUGGAAAAUUGUGAUCUCGUUCCUCAACUU